GACGAACGCUGGCGGCGUGCCUAAUACAUGCAAGUCGAACGAACCUUGCUAGACUGGAUUGGCGUACUUGUACAAAGAGAAAGAUUAGCGCUGGUGAGUGGCGAACGGGUGAGUAACACGUAGGUAACCUGGCAAUAAGACGAGGACAACUAUUGGAAACGAUAGCUAAUACUGGAUGUGGUGUGUUGGAGGCAUCUCUAACAUAUUAAAGGAGCUUUCGGGCUUCACUUAUUGAUGGACCUGCGGCGCAUUAGUUAGUUGGUGAGGUAGAGGCUCACCAAGACGAUGAUGCGUAGCCGAUCUGAGAGGAUAAACGGCCACACUGGGACUGAGAUACGGCCCAGACUCCUACGGGAGGCAGCAGUAGGGAAUUUUCCACAAUGGACGAAAGUCUGAUGGAGCAACGCCGCGUGUGCGAAGAAGGUUUUCGGAUUGUAAAGCACUGUUGUAUGGGAAGAAUAAGGUAAAGAGGAAAUGUUUUACUGAUGACGGUACCAUACGAGGAAGUCACGGCUAACUACGUGC
rnacentral:rRNA from 1 species